AUCGGACAACUCUACAUAUACCAAUAGGAGAAUUGCCAUUUAAUUUGACCUAUGGAAUAGAAGUAAUAAUCUUGCUCGAGAUUGGAUUGCUGUCAGUGAGAGUCGACCAAUAUAAUGAGCCAAGUAAUUUUGAAUGUUGAAAAGCUGACCUAGACUUACUCCAAGAAGUUCGACAGCAAGCUCAAAUUCGGAUGGCAGCAUAUUGGCAAAGAGUGGCCUGAUACUAUAAUGCAA
rnacentral:lncRNA from 1 species